AGAACCCACUAUGCUUAGCCCUAAACACAGAUAAUUACAUAAACAAAAUUAUUCGCCAGAGUACUACUAGCAACAGCUUAAAACUCAAAGGACUUGGCGGUGCUUUAUAUCCUUCUAGAGGAGCCUGUUCUAUAAUCGAUAAACCCCGAUAAACCUCACCAAUUCUUGCUAAUACAGUCUAUAUACCGCCAUCUUCAGCAAACCCUAAAAAGGAAAAAAAGUAAGCGUAAUUAUGAUACAUAAAAACGUUAGGUCAAGGUGUAACCUAUGAAAUGGGAAGAAAUGGGCUACAUUCUCUACACUAAGAGAAUCAAGCACGAAAGUUAUUAUGAAACCAAUAACCAAAGGAGGAUUUAGCAGUAAACUAAGAAUAGAGUGCUUAGUUGAAUUAGGCCAUGAAGCACGCACACACCGCCCGUCAC
rnacentral:rRNA from 1 species